rnacentral:lncRNA from 1 species
CAUUUCCCGCCUUGUAGUUAUUUUUAUCUUUAACAUAAGGUGGAGGCAGUGACUGGAGGCUGGUCUGUGUGUCUGCAGGCACCUCAGCCCUCAGCAGGUUAGCCCUGGAGGCUGAAGAAACACUGAUCUCAGGGGUCUUGGGGACAGCUGGUCAUAAGUCCACCUCACUGAAUUCAGCACUACCCUUUCUGGGCCUCUCUCCAGCAAAGGGUUCUGCUAGGGGUUGGGAGGAAACCCUGAAGGAGCGGGGGCAGCUUGGCCAGCUCUCCUGCGCCCUGGCCAGUCAACUCACUUCCCUGCCUAAACUCUGCAGAUUCCGCCACAACGAUGAAGGGGAUUUCCCAGAGUGUGGGCCGCUGAAGAUUCCAGGUUGUUCUGGGACCCUGCAUUAACACCACUAACUCACGCUAGGAAGGCUUCUGACUGACCUUCGGACUGGCGUCCUUAUAGAGAUUAAGACACAGACUCACACGGAGGGAAGGCCAUGUGAAGAUGGGGAGAAAACAGCCAUCUACAAGCCAAGGAGCAGAGGCCUCAGAAGAAACCAACCCUGCCAGCACCCUGAUCUCAGACUCCCAGCCUUCAGAACUGUGAUUAUGCUUUGUUAUGACGGCCCUGGGAAACAAAUACAGCCCCUGAGGUGGAGCUCUCCCUGGGGCUGGGAGUUGGGGUUCUCUCUCCAUCAUUCCAAACUCUAUCUACAAGGCCAUGUGGGGUCAAGGUCGUUCCUCCCCUGAGCCUCACCCACUGCCCUCCGCCCAUCCCUUUCUAGGCUUUGCACACACACCAGCCUCAUUUCCACUAGGGGCCUCUGCACUGGCUCCUCCUGGACUCGAGUCUUUGCCAGAUUGUCUCCUUCUUAUUUUUCCAGUCUCACUUUAACCCCCAAGAUAAGGCUUUCCCUGAUCACCCCCAUCUCCCAAUCUAAAGCAAAAGUUUUUCUCAUCCUAACAUGAUUUUCUUUUCUUUAACAGCACUUAUUGCAAGGUGUAAUUAGACAGGUUUGUUUCCUUGAUGACUGUUUCUCUUCCUAGGGGAAUUGUAAGCUCUGUGAGGGCAGGGCCUACAUCUGCUUCAUUAACUAUUGUGUUCAGUUACAAGAUGCUGCUCAUGGAAUAAAUGGACUCCAGGCUAUACGUUGAGAUGGGCACUAGGAGAUCCAAGAGAGCCAGGCUGUGGGGCAUACCAGCCAUGAGGGUAGCUGCAAUGUCACAGGGGGAGCAGAAUAAGGGGCCGGCUAACCCUACCUGUCCUGGAUGCUUCCAGAGCAACUGGAGAAACGAGUGCUGAUGCACUCCAGUGGAGGUGGACAGUGUCCUUCCUUGUCACCCACCUAUUCAGCUGAGUAUCAACACAACCCCACCUGUGCAGACUGCACGUGUAGGCAUGGGCCAGGCCACCAGCUCUCAGCCAGCCGAAGUGGUUGGUCGGUGAAACUCUGAAACUGAGUCAUGGAUGAUACAGGGCUGUCUUCUGGGGUGGAGGCAUUUGUUUAUUAUGUAAAUUUCAAACCCACUAAUAUUCCUCCUAAGAAGUUACCUGGUUUGGAAUGUUGUGAAUGAAAACAAGAAAAAACAUGAACUAGACAGAAAAGUGAAGUUUGCCCACAUUAAAAAAAAAGUUGUAAACUGAUGUUUGAGCCUAAUUGUGUAAUUAUGGGCUCUUGUCCUUUCAGGGGCUGUGAGGCACCAGUCUUCUCUUGUUAGGAACAAUGGACAUGAAAGCCAGCUCCCAACAAUGUUAAAGUGUUAUGUUAAGUCCAGCACAUCUAAUAUAUCCCGUAUUUUGAACAAUAAAGAAACAAGUUUCAUUAAUGGCAUCUUCCUGGACCUGCUGAAUAAAUGAUGAACAAUAUUUCAAGAGCACCA